AUUCCAUCUCCAAGGUGAACAAAACCAAUGUAAGAGAAGAAAUAUUAGGUCAGUGAAGGCCAGGGGAAUAUUUAAGUUUUAAUGCUAGUGUUUUGAACUUUAAGACAAAGAGCAUGAAGAAGUCACUUCAGUGUCCAGCUUGAUGCUUCCUCUUUUUCUUACAUAAGCUUAUGGGAGUUCAUAGAAGAACACAGAGUUCAAAGAAGAACCUGCCUUUGCUGUUGGAUACAUCAUGGUUUAUGUUUUCGUUCUGCUCUUCAUAAUUGUAUAAUCCAAGGUUUGUUAAUCAACCUCUUAAACUUUAGAUUUCUCCCUCUGCAAAGUGAGGCUACUGAUAAUACCCGGCAUACAAGAAUUUUGUAUGGAUUAAAUGAGAUUAGCAUGUUAAUCUCUCAGCAGAGAACCUACCACAUAAAGAAUGCUCAAUAAAUGUUUGUAUCAUUUUUAUAAUCAUUAAUGCCAUCCAGGCAGUAAACACUCCUAUCUAUGAGUGAAAAACAGCACAAUAAUACGGAAAGCAUAACAAAAUGGAAAGAAAAUACAAUAAGAAAGUAUCACCCAACUAUAUGGAAUUGCUGGCAUUUGACUAUUUUUCCCUACAAAUAAAGCAGUCUCACACAGCUCAACCUAAUAGACUCAUUACAUUAUUUUACAAAGUGCAUUUUGUCUCCAGAGGAAAGAAAGUGCUGGAACACUAAACUAGUAUUUGCCAUCACAAAAAGGCACUGGAGGCAAUCAGUAUAAUUCAGAGGAGCCUCAAAGUUCUCCAAACACCUUCUCCAUAUUCAGAAUGAAGGGACCUGAGUAAACGCCAUAUACCCAUUUUGCAGGUGUGAAGUUUAAAGGACCACUAUUAAUGAAUUGACCAAGAAUAGUUCUUCCUAGGUGACUGAAGACCCUAUGAAAUUGGGGGUGCUGGCAAUACGUAACCUGAAAGAAUCCAAACCAUGGAAUGGCAAGAAGACUAUAAGCCCAGUUGGUGGAAGCCACCUUUCAAGGGGCUGAUAACAAGUGCAUCCCUCCCCACCUGCGUCUGCUCAGGCAGCCCCAUGGGGUGGUUUAGCAUGCUGCAGCUGUGCAGAUUUCCAUCUCUGAUAAAACUUUGCCUGAGAGCUAUUUGCUGAUGAUUGUCAACAAUCAAAUGAAUUAUAGAUUAUGUUGGUAAACAAAAUGCUGCCUUGAUGAAUGAUGAGUUGGCUCUAUUCUGACAUGACUGCUAAGUCAUUCAAAGCGCUGAUUAAACCCAUUACUGUAAAAUAAUCACCAUCCAUUACCUUUAAUGUCGUGAACUGACAACCUAGUUAAGGCAGCUGAUGGUGUCAGCAAAGUGAUUUGUUGUACUGCAUGUCCAUCGACAAUAAAUCACUCCGAUAAAUCAAUGAACAGUAGCAAUAAAACAAUAUAUUUUCAUA